AUCCGGCUGACGAGUCCCAAAUAGGACGAAACGCUCAUCAAACUGAAU
rfam:Schistosoma mansoni, Puerto Rico, WGS project CABG01000000 data, contig: 0044